UGAAGUAUAGCCAAGUGGUAAGGCCCCCGUUUUUGGUACG
rnacentral:tRNA from 1 species